rnacentral:rRNA from 1 species
GACGAACGCUGGCGGCGUGCUUCAUACAUGCCAGUCGAACGAGAAGCUGACUUCGGUCAGUGGAAAGUGGCGGACGGGUGAGUAAUAUGUAGGAAAUCUGCCUUUAGGAGGGGGACAACAGAGGGAAACUUCUGCUAAUACCCCAUAUGAGCGUAGCUGAAAUGCUAUUCUUGAAAACUCCGGUGCCUAAAGAUGAGCCUGCAUCUGAUUAGCUAGUUGGUAGUGUAAUGGACUACCAAGGCGACGAUCAGUAGCUGGUUUGAGAGGAUGAUCAGCCACAAUGGGACUGAGACACGGCCCAUACUCCUACGGGAGGCAGCAGUAGGGAAUUAUGCGCAAUGGGCGAAAGCCUGACGCAGCAACGCCGCGUGAACGAUUAAGCCCUUCGGGGUGUAAAGUUCUGUCAGUGGGGACGAAACUUGACGGUACCCACAGAGGAAGCACCGGCUAACUCCGUG